rnacentral:lncRNA from 1 species
GAAGAGCUCCCUUGUGAGUAGCAUGUGUGAUGUCACGGUCAGGAACAGGGAAGAUUUCAAAUCGACUGUUUGUUAGGAGUCCUAAGAGGCAGAUGUCAGCAGCAGAACAAACUCCAAUCACAGCAGGCUCCUCCUCCUUCUGAAUCCUCCUCCUGUGAGUGGAGGGCUGGGAGAAGAGGCCCCGCCCCCAGCAGAUCACAUGGGCUAGGGGAUCAGGAACAGGAAGAAAGUGAAGACUGCUGCAGUUACUGUGGAUUGGAGUGUCCUUCCUGCAUGCUAACCUUCAACUUCCCAGGCUCUCACUCCCACACCAAACCUAUAGACUACUGCCUGCUCCUAUUCCCAUCAUAGACGCACUGUUCCAUCAUCAGAUAAUGCCCAUAAUGCAGCAAAAUA